CCUACGGGAGGCAGCAGUUGGGAAUAUUGGACAAUGGGCGAAAGCCUGAUCCAGCCAUGCCGCGUGUGUGAAGAAGGCCUUCGGGUUGUAAAGCACUUUCAGUGGGGAAGAAAGCCUUGGGGCUAAUACCCUCGAGGAAGGACAUCACCCACAGAAGAAGCACCGGCUAACUCCGUGCCAGCAGCCGCGGUAAUACGGAGGGUGCGAGCGUUAAUCGGAAUUACUGGGCGUAAAGCGCGCGUAGGCGGUCUGAUAAGCCGGUUGUGAAAGCCCCGGGCUCAACCUGGGAACGGCAUCCGGAACUGUCAGGCUAGAGUGCAGGAGAGGAAGGUAGAAUUCCCGGUGUAGCGGUGAAAUGCGUAGAGAUCGGGAGGAAUACCAGUGGCGAAGGCGGCCUUCUGGACUGACACUGACGCUGAGGUGCGAAAGCGUGGGUAGCAAACAGGAUUAGAUACCCCAGUAGUC
rnacentral:rRNA from 1 species